rnacentral:rRNA from 1 species
ACUCCUACGGGAGGCAGCAGUGGGGAAUAUUGCACAAUGGGCGCAAGCCUGAUGCAGCAACGCCGCGUGAGGGACGACGGCCUUCGGGUUGUAAACCUCUUUUAGUAGGGAAGAAGCGAAAGUGACGGUACCUGCAGAAAAAGCACCGGCUAACUACGUGCCAGCAGCCGCGGUAAUACGUAGGGUGCAAGCGUUAUCCGGAAUUAUUGGGCGUAAAGAGCUCGUAGGCGGUUUGUCGCGUCUGCUGUGAAAACUGGAGGCUCAACCUCCAGCCUGCAGUGGGUACGGGCAGACUAGAGUGCGGUAGGGGAGAUUGGAAUUCCUGGUGUAGCGGUGGAAUGCGCAGAUAUCAGGAGGAACACCGAUGGCGAAGGCAGAUCUCUGGGCCGUAACUGACGCUGAGGAGCGAAAGCAUGGGGAGCGAACAGGAUUAGAUACCCUGGUAGUCCAUGCCGUAAACGUUGGGAACUAGAUGUAGGGACCAUUCCACGGUUUCUGUGUCGCAGCUAACGUAUUAAGUUCCCCGCCUGGGGAGUACGGCCGCAAGGCUAAAACUCAAAGGAAUUGACGGGGGCCCGCACAAGCGGCGGAGCAUGCGGAUUAAUUCGAUGCAACGCGAAGAACCUUACCAAGGCUUGACAUAUACCGGAAAAGGCUAGAAAUAGUCUCCCCGCAAGGUCGGUAUACAGGUGGUGCAUGGUUGUCGUCAGCUCGUGUCGUGAGAUGUUGGGUUAAGUCCCGCAACGAGCGCAACCCUCGUUCUAUGUUGCCAGCACGUAAUGGUGGGAACUCAUAGGAGACUGCCGGGGUCAACUCGGA